UACGUAGGGUGCGAGCGUUGUCCGGAAUUAUUGGGCGUAAAGGGCGCGUAGGCGGCGCAACAAGUCACUUGUGAAAUCUCCGGGCUUAACCCGGAGCGGUCAAGUGAUACUGUCGUGCUAGAGUGCGGAAGGGGCUACUGGAAUUCUCGGUGUAGCGGUGAAAUGCGCAGAUAUCAGGGAGGAACACCGGGUGGCGAAGGCGGGGUCUCUGGGCCGUAACUGACGCUGAGGAGCGAAAGCGUGGGGAGCGAACAGG
rnacentral:rRNA from 1 species